AGUGACGUCACAAUGUGUAACUGUAAAAGAUGUCAUGCCGCAGGAAGAUAGUCCGACUUUAUAGCGCUAAGUUUUCAGAUGAAAUGACUGAUAACUGAUGACUGUUUAACAUUUUAUAUAUACACCUGAAGAA